UGGACAUGAAAAAGUUUAUGAGUAAUUGACAUGAAUAUGAAAUUUUACGUUGGCAAAAUAAAAUAGACAUGCCAUGUAUUUUAAUUUCAACUCCAUGUCAAAACACCGUUGGGCAGAAAAAACAUGAAAUUAAAAUAUCAUAAGUGAUGACUCCUAAUAAUAAAACAAUGUUGGUCCGAAUUAAAACCAGAGUCAUUUCAUUCUCAAUUUAGACAUCAACAUAAGAACAAUAUAAAAAAAAUUGAUGUCUAAAAAAUUCAUCAUGCAAACACAUAAUAAAUCCUGAACAAAAUAUCUCGUUGGUUCAAUUUUACCUAGAAUAAUAAUGUGUUCAUUAUAUUUUUAGGCAUUUUCUGUUUUAAACAGUGCAAAACAUAAAAGAUGUUAACUUACAGUGCACUAGAAAACACAGAAAAACGCGAUGGCCCAAAACACCCACGGUUAUACAGCGGCCCAACCUAGCAGUGAAAACCGUAAAGAGAAAAAAAAAAUGCGCUGUGCUAAGGCAACCUGGGCUGAAGCCCGUGGCAAAAAAUGGCCCAUUAAGUGCUCCCAGGCCCGCAGCGGAGCUGAGCGUUGCUGCCAGCCAUUCGAUGGAAAUCGACGGUCCGCGUCGAUCACGGCUGGAACAAAACAACCGCCCGGCCAGAACCCUAGCCAUUUCCCCCGCGACUCCCCGCAUUUCACGCUCAUACAGUGAGCGGUGACGGCGUUCGACGGCGGCUCGAGGCGCGCCGGCCAUGGCGGCGCGGCGGCUGCGCUCGCCGGAGGAGCAUGCAACAGGAUGAAUCCCGCGCGCUCCCCCGUCGAGCGUGCCCCCAGCGUCCGUGCACAUGGCGCAUCAAGGAGGGUAGGGACGCCGGCCACCGCGGCAUGAGGAGCGAUGGCGACUUGCUCGGCGUCGGCCAAACAAGGGCACGUCCAUUAGAGCGGCAGCGGCGCCACUUCGUUUCGCGUGUCGUCCCGAGGACGGCGGCGUCGCGGCGUCUUCGCCCUCGCGCAACGGUGGGCGCUGCGCGGGCCCCGAAGGGAAGAGGCGAGGACGCGGCGCGUUAGGAGCUAGAGCUGCCGAGCUAGAGAUGCAGGCUCGCCCUGCAGCACGAGCAGGAGCUACGAGCUGGGGGUCCUGUUCAUCUUAACAUAUGUCCAGCAGACACCUCAUUGUCCAAAAGAGAACCUUAUUGGUAGUGUAUUUGUAUUAAUAAAUUAGCAAGGUAUUCUUUUU